rnacentral:rRNA from 1 species
UCGGGAAUUUUGGGCAAUGGGCGAAAGCCUGACCCAGCAACGCCGCGUGAAGGAUGAAGUAUUUCGGUAUGUAAACUUCGAAAGAAUAGGAAGAAUAAAUGACGGUACUAUUUAUAAGGUCCGGCUAACUACGUGCCAGCAGCCGCGGUAAUACGUAGGGACCAAGCGUUGUUCGGAUUUACUGGGCGUAAAGGGCGCGUAGGCGGCAAUUCAAGUCAUCUGUGAAAUCUCCGGGCUUAACUCGGAACGGUCAGAUGAUACUGCUUUGCUAGAGUGCAGAAGGGGCAAUCGGAAUUCUUGGUGUAGCGGUGAAAUGCGUAGAUAUCGGGAGGAACACCUGUGGCGAAGGCGGCCACCUGGUUGGAUACUGACGCUGAGACGCGAAAGCGUGGGGAGCAAACAGGAUUAGAUACCCCAGUAGUCCCUGAGCGGGCUGGCAAGGCGCAU